rnacentral:tRNA from 1 species
GUGCCCGUAGCUCAGGGGAUAGAGCAGUGGUUUCCUAAACCACGUGCCGGGGGUUCGAUUCCCUCCGGGCGCACCA